AUUGAACGCUGGCGGCAGGCCUAACACAUGCAAGUCGAACGAGUGGAGGACGGGUGACUAAUGUCUGGGCCACUGCCCGAUGGAGGGGGAUAACUACUGGAACCGGUCGCUAACACCGCAUCCCAUCGGAUGUGACCUGAGGGGAGGAGCUAGCAGGUGGGGUAAAGGCACACCUAGGCGACGAUCCCUAGCUGGUCUGAGAGGAUGAACAGCCACACGGGAACGGAGACACGGGCCAGACUCCUACGGGAGGAAGCAGGGGGGAAUAUUCGACAAUGGGCGAAAGCCUGAUGCAGCCAUGCCGCGUGUAUGAAGAAGGCCUUCGGGUUGUAAAGUACUUUCAGCGAGGAGGCGUUACUCGCAGAAGAAGCACCGGCUAAGUCCGUGCCAGCAGCCGCGGUAAUAC
rnacentral:rRNA from 1 species